UACGUAGGGGGCCAGCGUUGUCCGGAAUCAUUGGGCGUAAAGAGCGCGUAGGCGGCCAGACAAGUCCGGUGUGAAAGUCACAGGCUCAACCUGUGAAUGCCGCUGGAAACUGUCGUGGCUAGAGUCCGGAAGGGGCGAGUGGAAUUCCUGGUGUAGCGGUGAAAUGCGCAGAUAGUCAGGAGGAACACCAAUGGCGAAGGCAGCUCGCUGGAACGGUACUGACGCUGG
rnacentral:rRNA from 1 species